GCCGGGGUGGCGAAAUGGUAGACGCAGGAGACUUAAAAUCUUCUAUCCCCUGUGGAUGUGCGGGUUCAAGUCCCGCCUCCGGCA
rnacentral:tRNA from 1 species